UGCGGAAGGAUCAUUGUCGAA
rnacentral:rRNA from 1 species